UACGUAGGGGGCAAGCGUUGUCCGGAAUUAUUGGGCGUAAAGAGCGCGUCGGCGGUCUGUCGCGUCGGCUGUGAAAACCCGGGGCUCAACCCCGGGCCUGCAGUCGAUACGGGCAGACUAGAGUGCGGUAGGGGAGACUGGAAUUCCUGGUGUAGCGGUGAAAUGCGCAGAUAUCAGGAGGAACACCGGUGGCGAAGGCGGGUCUCUGGGCCGUAACUGACGCUGAGGAGCGAAAGCGUGGGGAGCGAACAGG
rnacentral:rRNA from 1 species